GACGAACGCUGGCGGCGUGCUUAACACAUGCAAGUCGAACGGAAAGGCCCUGCUUUUGUGGGGUGCUCGAGUGGCGAACGGGUGAGUAACACGUGAGUAACCUGCCCUUGACUUUGGGAUAACUUCAGGAAACUGGGGCUAAUACCGGAUAGGAGCUCCUGCUGCAUGGUGGGGGUUGGAAAGUUUCGGCGGUUGGGGAUGGACUCGCGGCUUAUCAGCUUGUUGGUGGGGUAGUGGCUUACCAAGGCUUUGACGGGUAGCCGGCCUGAGAGGGUGACCGGCCACAUUGGGACUGAGAUACGGCCCAGACUCCUACGGGAGGCAGCAGUGGGGAAUAUGGCACAAUGGGCGGAAGCCUGAUGCAGCAACGCCGCGUGCGGGAUGACGGCCUGCGGGUUGUAAACCGCUUUCGCCUGUGACGAAGCGUGAGUGACGGUAAUGGGUAAAGAAGCACCGGCUAACUACGUG
rnacentral:rRNA from 1 species